rnacentral:rRNA from 1 species
CCUACGGGAGGCAGCAGUGGGGAAUAUUGCGCAAUGGGCGAAAGCCUGACGCAGCGACGCCGCGUGAGGGAUGAAGGUCUUCGGAUCGUAAACCUCUGUCAGCAGGGAAGAACGGUCACUGUGCUAAUCAGCAGUGAAUUGACGGUACCUGCAAAGGAAGCACCGGCUAACUCCGUGCCAGCAGCCGCGGUGAUACGGAGGGUGCGAGCGUUAAUCGGAAUUACUGGGCGUAAAGCGGUCGUAGGCGGGAUGUCAAGUCAAGGGUGAAAUCCCCGGGCUCAACGUGGGAACUGCCUUUGAAACUGGCAAACUGGAGUGUGUGAGAGGAUAGUGGAAUUCCAGGUGUAGGGGUGAAAUGCGUAGAUAUAUGGAGGAACAUCAGUGGCGAAGGCGACUAUCUGGCACAUAACUGACGCUGAGGAGCGAAAGCGUGGGUAGCAAACAGGAUUAGAUACCCGAGUAGUC